rnacentral:rRNA from 1 species
UACGUAGGGCGCAAGCGUUGUCCGGAAUUAUUGGGCGUAAAGAGCUCGUAGGCGGCCUGUUGCGUCCGCUGUGAAAUCCCGGGGCUUAACCCCGGGCUUGCAGUGGAUACGGGCAGGCUGGAGGCAGGCAGGGGAGAGCGGAAUUCCCGGUGUAGCGGUGAAAUGCGCAGAUAUCGGGAGGAACACCGGUGGCGAAGGCGGUUCUCUGGGCCGGUACUGACGCUGAGGAGCGAAAGCGUGGGGAGCGAACAGG